rnacentral:lncRNA from 1 species
UCCUAAGAAUUAAAGUGAGGAAUUCUAACUAGAAAUGCGUUUUCUAGAGAUACCACUUUAAAAAGAAAGCGUGUCACAUGACAAAUGAAAACUAGCAAGGAAGUGCAUCUCCUAAGGGUUAAGUGCAAUAACUCGACUAGAAAGUACAUUUUCUAGAAAACAAGGGGACUGACUCGAGAAGGAUGUACAUCUACUAGGAAUCAAGACUUAAGUUAGGAAGUGCAUUACCCAAAAACCAAAGUUCGAAUUACCCAAUCAAGGAAGUGAAUCUCCUUACCGAUAUCGCUUGAAUUAUCAAAACAAGGAAUUGCGUCUCCUUACCAAUGUUGCUUGAAUUGCCUAAACAAGGAAGUGCGUCUCCUUACAAAUACCGCUUGAAUUACCAAACAAGGAAGUGUGUCUCUUUACAAAUGUUGCUUGAAUUACCAAACAAGGAAGUGCGUCUCCUUACAAAUGUUGCUUGAAUUACCCAAACAAAGAAGUGCGUCUCCUUACAAAUGUUGCUUGAAUUACCAAACAAGGAAGUACGUCUCCUUACCAAUGCCGCUUGAAUUACCAAAACAAGGAAGUACGUUUCAUUACAAAUGCCGCUUAAAUUACCAAACAAAGAAGUGUGUCUCCUUACAAAUAUUGCUUGAAUUACCAUACAAGGAAGUGUGUCUCCUUACAAAUACCGCUUGAAUUACCAAACAAGGAAGUGCAUCUCCUUACAAAUACCGCUUGAAUUACCAAACAAGGAAGUGCAUCUCCUUACCAACGUUGCUUGAAUUACCAAAACAAGGAAGUGCGUUUCCUUACAAAUGCCACUUAAAUUACCAAACAAAGAAGUGCGUCUCCUUACAAAUGUUUCUUGAAUUACCAAACAAGGAAGUGCGUCUCCUUAUAAAUACCGCUUGAAUUAUCAAACAAGGAAGUGUGUCUCCUUACCAAUGUUGCUUGAAUUACCAAAACAAGGAAGUGUGUUUCCUUACAAAUGCCGCUUAAAUUACCAAACAAAGAAGUGUGUCUCCUUACAAAUGUUGCUUGAAUUACCAAACAAGAAAGUUUGUCUCCUGAAAAAUACCGAUUGAAUUACCAAACAAGGAAGUGUGUCUCCUUACAAAUACCGCUUGAAUUACCAAACAAGGAAAUGCAUCUCCUUACCAAUAUCGCUUAAAAUUUUUAAGGAAAUACGUCUCCUUGAGAAGGAAGUGUGCCUCCUAGAGAUCUUAAAUUAUGAGUUUUACCAUGGUUUUGACUACCAAACUAGUGCAACAACAUUGCCUCUUGUAUUUAUAGAAAUGAGAAAUUAUGGCCUUUGAUGUUUAGGCUCUGAAAUCCUUGAUCUGAAUGUAACAUGUGUUACUGUUUCAUACAAAGAAAACUUGUUAGUUUAAAAACAUGGUAGCUGGUUUGUAGCUUUGGCUUUCCUGAAAAUCGCUCUUGCCCCUAUCACAUUAAAUCUUGCUUUCAACCAUUAGCAUGUGUCAUUGACCUGCUGCAUCAUUGGACCCAACUCAGAUUAUUUAAGAGCGAUUCUGAAACAGAUACAGUAUCUCUGUUUUGUCAUGCUUCUCAGAUAAACCCUUUGAACCUUGGUAUUUCCAUGAGUUCCCAGACUUCUCGGUUGACAAAACUUUCUGCAUGCCUUAUUUCUGCUCACAAUCAUGUCUCUUUCAUGUGUCGGCCUUUUGUCUUGCUUUACACAAUUAAAGAAGCUGGUAGUCAGUUUUGAAGUCUUUUCUCACUUGUUUUGAUAUGGACUUGACUCAAAGACGAGAAAAAAAUGACAAUAAUUUUUUUUAUUUUUUGGAUAACUGACUCAAGAAAGAUAAAACAAAAAUAAAGAGAAGAAAGAAAAGAAAAUGAAUGUCCCUAUUUGAAACAAUGAAACAACAAUUUAUCUAAAAAUGACAGUCAACUCUAAUGAUUAUGCUAUGUAUUUUGGAAUAAGUUACUUGAUCUUUCCAUUCAAAGUUUUUACCAAUUGUUCUUGAGUUAAUGACCCUAAAAUUGAGUUACUUGCUUGGACCCAUUGCAUUCGGAGAGCUCAUUCGGCUAGCGGCACAUUGAAGGAUUUUCGCCAACAAACCUCUCUCAUUUUUCUCUCAACUCACCAUCUCUUUAUGGUGCCCGUGAGGGUUUUCACCAAUAAGACUCUCUCAUUUUUAUUUCUCUCCUGAUUCCACUAAGGAAGACAAGUAGUUCCCAAAAUGCGUCAUUACAUUCAUUGUAUGCUUAGCCUUAACAUUUUCACAGAUUGAUCUGAAGGUCUUUCUUUGAUUGUAACUUGAAUUUUGGGGCCCAAAUGACACUUAAAGUGGGGUAGGACUUACAACUUUUGGAAUCGACUCAAGCAAUGAGGAAUAACUCAUGCCCCAGUUUUUUUUGACUUUGGAAUCAACUCAAAAAAUGAGGAUUAACUCAUGCCCCGAUUUUUUUACUGGGCAAUUCUAAAUUAUUUAUUUGGUUGGACCAAGCCCCGGGUAGGGCAGCCUACGUAUCUUACCCCCGAAAGAGGAGAAUCAGGUCACGCGUAGUUCUGACCGCUUGUCCUUUCACUUGAUUCUAUUUUUUUUUUUGAAACUUUUUCUCUUUGGGACUUUUCUGACAUAAUUUUUCUUGACACCCAUUUUUCUUUCUUUUUCGACACAUUUUUUUUUUUGAAUUUUGUUGACUCUAUCUUGAUUUCAAAAGAGGGGUAUGAAAGAAAAUAACACUAAGGCCCAAAUAGGGUAAACAAAUGAUGACACAAUGUUUGGAUAGCAGAAUGAAAUGCCUUCGUCAUAUCAAUUCUUGAAAAUGCUAGUACAUAGCAUGCAAUGCGAAAGUGCACAAUCAAGAUCACUAAUGAAAUGCUUUACAACACGAACUUGCCCCGGGCAUAUGUGCCACCUCUUUUUCUACACUUUCCCAACAUACAACUCCACUUUGUUGUACAUUCCUCAUGCUGAAGGACUCAUGACUUCGUGGAGCUAAUUUUCUUCCUAUUUCUCUUGAUAUAGAGAUCACACGUCCUCUAUUUGACCUAAUUAGGACCUGCCUUUCGAUCGAUGACCAAGUUGUUCUUGUGAUUCUCAAAAUAAUUGUCUUAACUUUUCACCAAAUAUCUUAGCACUCUAUCUAUUUUCUCAUAUGCUCUCUUUUCUAACUUUAACCCUUUGAUUUAAUGUUCAUGCUUAGACUGAAUUUUAAGAUCUGGCUGAAAAUUUCACUAACAUGUCAUAUCACCAGAGUCAACAUAAAAUGUACUAUGUAAAGAAAAUAAACAAACAAAACAUAUUUAAAACACAAAGAAAAAUGGGACACUUCAUUUAGUUGAAACAAAAAAUAGAAGGGUUUGAACAUAAACAGCAAAAGGAUAAAAUAAGAUAAAUCCCGAACUACAACCCUGAAAUAAUUCGGACAAUAGAAAAUAAAACAAAACAAGCUACCAGAUCUCUUCCUAGUAGGGGAGAGGGGUGACUUCUCAAUUGCUCAGCCUGACAUCUUAGCCACUGAUUUGCAUAUCAGCAUGACUAGAGCUUUCCUCGCUAUCAAUGUUCUGCACCAUGAUUGAUUUAUCUUGAAUCAUUUUUCAAUUUUUCUUUUCAAAUCACGACAAUCUUCAAUACUGAGACCCUGAACAUCAGAAUGAUAUGCACAUCGUAAAUUAGGAUCAAAACUUCUUGAGUGUAGGUCAGGAGUAUACCCAAGAAGAGGAGUGAUCAUGCCCUACUCUACUAAUCUCUGGAAUAAACUUACAUACGACUCUCCAAUUGGUGUGAAGCUAUCCGUCGACUUCUGUCUCAUUUCAUUAUUUGGCUUAAAUUGAAAACCAGGCCUUGAAGCGCUUCGGUAUAUAUGUGGAGUUAGAGGAUAACUCGGCAGAGUUGGUGCGUGCCAGCGUGGGUAAGAUGGGGGUUGAACAUAUGGUUGCGCAUUAUACACUUGAUAUGGAGAUGGGAGAAUGGAAUAUAAUGGAUUUUGGGAAAGAUCCUGUGAAACUUGGGCAUAAACUUUUGGGCUUGAGCCCGUGGGUAACGAUGGUAUGGUCCUCUUGCUCGUGCCUAUUGUCCAACUAUAAUGGAAGAUGCAUCUUCCUCAUUCUUCUUUCCUCCAACACUUCCCGAACCUAUUUAAAUUGCUUGAGUAGUUGCUUUCAAUAUUGCAAAACUCACAAUGCGACCGAUCUUAAUUUCAUCCUCUAUCAUCUCCCCUAUUUUGAGGACCUCAAAAAUGGUUUGUCUAAUGCAGGUAACAAGUGUUGAUAAUAUGUUUCAUCCUGCGUUUGAAUAAAUGCCUCCGCUAUCUUACUUUUUUUCAUUUGUGGUUUCACCCUAGCAGCUUGUUCACGCCAUCUAAUCGCAUACUCUCUGAAAGUUUCAGUACUCUUUUUCUUCAUAUUAGUCAGGGAUUUCUUAUCAGGAAUCAACUACAUAUUGUAUCGAAAUUGUUGCAUGAAUUCAUUAGCAAGGUCAUCCCAGUUGUUCCACUUGUCGAUGUCUUGGUCAACAAACUAUUCUGAAGCUAGACCUGAAAGACUCUCACCAAAAUAUGUCAUGAGUAAUUCUUCCUUCCCUCUAACGCUCCUUAACUGGUUGCAAUAGCAUCUCAAAUGUGCUACAGGAUCACUAUGUCCAUCAUACUUCUCAAACUUCAGCAUUUUAAAACCAAGAGGAGGAUGUACACCAGGAAACAUGCACAGAUCUUUAUAUGAGACACUUUUAUACCCCCCAAGUCCUCACAAGUUUUUCAUAGUCAGUUCCAAACUUCUCAAUUUUAUGGCCAUUUCCUCUUGUUCUUCUGUCAUAAUAGGCUUCUUAGUAUUAGGAGGAAAUUCAGGCAGUUGAGGGCAGUCGUAAGGACCAGUCGACUUAAAUGUGGGCUCGAGAGCAUAAUGCAGAUCACUAAAAAUAUUCAAUACAGGGUCGCUUGUAGAGUGAGGAAUCACAACCGUUGGAUUGACAUUAAAANN